rnacentral:tmRNA from 18 species
CCCCUUUUCUUUUGCCCGCGCGACGCCUAUAUCAAUGGUGUUCGCUUCGGCGGACUAUGGCGAUAAAUUGCUGCGUGCAAUAGGCACAACGGACCCGGGGGCAGUACCCGGCGGCUCCACCAUAAACCCCGGUUUUACGGGAUUUCUGACGGGGCCGAACUAGGAUCGACGUGGGCUGAAAAGCGUAGUUUUUGCUCGGGCUGAGUAACCCGUAAUAGGCUCAUUCUCAUAAGUGCCAACGAUAACGAAGCACUCGCAGUUGCAGCGUAAUUUUAAGGCCUAACGGUCUGAAUUUACAAAGCUAAAGCGCGGUUGGACCCACCGGGCAACAGAAGCGGAUUCC